rnacentral:rRNA from 1 species
UCGAACGAAGUAGCAAUACUUAGUGGCAGACGGGUGAGUAACAUGUAGGUAUCUACCCUUUGGCCUGGAAUAACACGAGGAAACUUGUGCUAAUACCGGAUAAGUCUUUACGGAGAAAGCUUUAUGCACCAUUGGAUGAGCCUGCAUUUGAUUAGUUUGUUGGUGGGGUAAUGGCCUACCAAGACUUUGAUCAAUAGCUGAUUUGAGAGGAUGAUCAGCCACAUUGGGACUGAGACACGGCCCAAACUCCUACGGGAGGCAGCAGUGGGGAAUCUUGCACAAUGGAGGAAACUCUGAUACAGCGAUGCCGCGUGAGUGAAGAAGGCCUUUGGGUUGUAAAGCUCUUUCGUCGGGGAAGAAAAUGACUGUACCCGAAUAAGAAGGUCCGGCUAACUUCGUGCCAGCAGCCGCGGUAAUACGAAGGGACCUAGCGUAGUUCGGAAUUACUGGGCUUAAAGAGUUCGUAGGUGGUUGAAAAAGUUGGUGGUGAAAUCCCAGAGCUUAACUCUGGAACUGCCAUCAAAACUUUUCAGCUAGAGUUUGAUAGAGGAAAGCAGAAUUUCUAGUGUAGAGGUGAAAUUCGUAGAUAUUAGAAAGAAUACCAAUUGCGAAGGCAGCUUUCUGGAUCAUUACUGACACUGAGGAACGAAAGCAUGGGUAGCGAAGAGGAUUAGAUACCCUCGUAGUCCAUGCCGUAAACGAUGUGUGUUAGACGUUGGAAAUUUAUUUUCAGUGUCGCAGCGAAAGCGAUAAACACACCGCCUGGGGGGUACGACCGCAAGGUUAAAACUCAAAUGAAUUGACGGGGACCCGCACAAGUAGUGGAGCAUGUGGUUUAAUUCGAAGAUACGCGCAGAACCUUACCAACACUUGACAUGUUCGUCGCGACUUUAAGAGAUUAAAGUUUUCGGUUCGGCCGGACGAAACACAGGUGCUGCAUGGCUGUCGUCAGCUCGUGUC